UCUUCUGUUUUUAUCGAGAGAAGGCACAGAUAAAGGUGAUUUCAACGUCUUUUGAUUUCGUCGGAGUUUUGAGUAUAAUCGGAGAUCUAUCGAGGUUCGGGCGCCGUUAUACCAUCUCUACUGUCGACGGUGAAAAUCGGGUAUAUUUGGGUCAUAAAGGCAAAGAUUCAUCUGUGGAGAAUCAACGUGUUUGUUCUCAAAAUCGGAACCGCUUAGUUUCGAUGUCUUCUAGUUCUGAAACAUGGAGAUAUAGAGGUAGUCGCAGAGAUUUGGAUAAUUCUCUUACAAAUCAUGAAGGAAUUUAGUAAAUUCGGUGUGCUUGAAUCCUUCGAAUGAGAGUCAUGUAAUGAUUCUCUGAGAUGGACGGAAGCUAAGCUGUCACCAGAUGAGAUUUUGAGAAACCAAUAAAUUCUUGAAGUGGUAAGUAUAGCUUGAGUAAUGGCUUUGAUAUUGCAUAUUCGUAUGAAGGAGAAGAUUCAUUGAAGAAAAAGAGAGUUCUAAUUAUUGUACCUCCAAACAAUAUCCAAGGAAGCAAUACAAGACAAAGUAAUAUCUGCACAUUGUCAGCCACGAAGACAUGCUUAUGCUAAUUGUCAUCAAAUACAGAUCAUUUGAUGCAAUGUAUCUGUUUUAGCUAGCUUUAUCUUCUGUUGGAUUCAAUGUUUAUAACUAAAUAAAAAAUUUAUUUUUAAUAA